UGUUCGAGCGUCAUUACAACCCUCAAGCUCUGCUUGGCCUUGGGCGUCACCGGCUCCGGUGUGCCCCAAACCCAGUGGCGGUGCAUCUGGCUCUAAGCGUAGUAACUAUUCUCGCUAUAGAUGCCCGGCGGAUGCUAGCCAACAACCCCCAACUUCUUAAGGUUGACCUCGGAUCAGGUAGGGAUACCCGCUGAACUUAA
rnacentral:misc_RNA from 1 species